rnacentral:sRNA from 1 species
UCAAAAAAUAUUUUUAUCUAAGAGCUUUUAUAUAGUGAGAGAUUUGCAAAACUACCAUUUUUUCUACCUUUUAACAACAAUACCCUUUUAUGUUGUCCAUUUUUAAAGAUACUCUUUCCUCUCAACAGAAUAACCAAAUUACCCUCAUUUAAUAAUAACAUAUAAUUGGAUACUGAAAUUUUCUCGCAA